rnacentral:tRNA from 1 species
GGAGAUGUAGUUUAGUGGUAGAGCACUGCUUGCCUACUGUGCACGAGGCCCUGGGUUUGAUCCCAGCAUUUCAA